AACGAACGCUGGCGGCAGGCUUAACACAUGCAAGUCGAACGACAUAGUGGCAGACGGGUGAGUAACGCGUGGGAACGUACCCUUCACUACGGAAUAGCUUCUGGAAACGGAAGGUAAUACCGUAUACGCCCUCCGGGGGAAAGAUUUAUCGGUGAAGGAUCGGCCCGCGUUAGAUUAGUUUGUUGGUGGGGUAAUGGCCUACCAAGACUACGAUCUAUAGCUGGUCUGAGAGGAUGAUCAGCCACACUGGGACUGAGACACGGCCCAGACUCCUACGGGAGGCAGCAGUGGGGAAUCUUGCACAAUGGGGCGAAAGCCUGAUGCAGCCAUGCCGCGUGAAUGAUGAAGGCCUUAGGGUUGUAAAAUUCUUUCGCCAGGGAUGAUAAUGACAGUACCUGGUAAAGAAGCCCCGGCUAACUUCGUGCCAGCAGCCGCGGUAAU
rnacentral:rRNA from 1 species